rnacentral:rRNA from 1 species
GGAUGACCGCUGGCGGCGUGCCUAAUACAUGCACGUCGAGCGAACAGAUAAGGAGCUUGCUCCUUUGACGUUAGCGGCGGACGGGUGAGUAACACGUGGGUAACCUACCUAUAAGACUGGAAUAACUCCGGGAAACCGGGGCUAAUGCCGGAUAACAUGUUGAACCGCAUGGUUCUACAGUGAAAGGCGGCUUUGCUGUCACUUAUAGAUGGACCCGCGCCGUAUUAGCUAGUUGGUGAGGUAACGGCUCACCAAGGCAACGAUACGUAGCCGACCUGAGAGGGUGAUCGGCCACACUGGAACUGAGACACGGUCCAGACUCCUACGGGAGGCAGCAGUAGGGAAUCUUCCGCAAUGGGCGAAAGCCUGACGGAGCAACGCCGCGUGAGUGAUGAAGGUCUUCGGAUCGUAAAACUCUGUUAUUAGGGAAGAACAAAUGCGUAAGUAACUGUGCGCGUCUUGACGGUACCUAAUCAGAAAGCCACGGCUAACUACGUG